GCAUAAUAAUUAGAUUUUUAAUUGGGGUCUGGAAUAAAUGGUAAUUACUAAGGGGUUUGUUUUUUUUUAUUAAUUUGAAUUUAAGUUAAAAGUAAAAAUGCUUUUAUUAAUCUCUGGGACGAGAAGACCCUAGAAGCUUAAAAUAAGUAUUUUUGUUGUUUUGUAAAGUAUUAUUUUUGAUUGGGGCAAUUUUUUGAAGAAAAAUUUUUGAAGUUUAAAAGUUACUCUAGGGAUAACAGCUUUAUUUAAUUAACAAGUUCUUAUUAAUAAUUAAGUUUGUGACCUCGAUGUUGAAUUAAUU
rnacentral:rRNA from 1 species